rnacentral:sRNA from 2 species
ACUCACUGCUGUCAAUCUAUCUAUUACUACUAAUCUAUUACUGCUAAUCUAUUGCUGCUAAUCUAUCACUACUAAUCUAUUACUGCUAAUUUAUCACUGUCAAUCUAUCUAUCACUGUCAAUCUAUCUAUUGCUGCUAAUCUAUCACUGUCAAUCUAUCUAUCACUGUCAAUCUAUCUAUCACUGUUAAUCUAUCUACUGCUGUCAAUCUAUCUACCACUGUUAAUCUAUCUAUCACUGCUAAUCUAUUACUGCUAAUCUAUUGCUGCUAAUCUAUUGCUGCUAAUCUAUUGCUGUCAAUCUAUCUAUUACUGUCAAUCUAUCUAUCACUGCUAAUCUAUUGCUGCUAAUCUAUUGCUGCUAAUCUAUUGCUGCUAAUCUAUCACUGUCAAUCUAUCUACUGCUGUCAAUCUAUCUAUUGCUGCUAAUCUAUUACUGCUAAUCUAUUGCUGUUAAUCUAUUGCUGCUAAUCUAUUACUGUUAAUCUAUUACUGUCAAUCUAUCUACUGCUGUCAAUCUAUCUAUCACUGCC